CGCCUUUUGUAACAAUAAAUAUAAAAGGUCCUGCCUGCCCAAUGACUUGUUUUAAUGGCCGCGGUAUUGUGACCGUGCAAAGGUAGCGUAAUCAUUUGUCUUUUAAAUAAAGACCAGUAUGAACGGCAAGACGAAAGCCUCACUGUCUCCCUAGACUAAUCAAUGAAAUUGAUCUUCCCGUGCAGAAGCGGGAAUAUAAAUAUAAGACGAGAAGACCCUGUGGAGCUUUAAACUCCAGCUAACAUCCACAAAUGCUUUAGUUCCAAGUUUUAGGUUGGGGCGACCAUGAGGUAUAAUAAAACCCUCACGAUAUAACUAAGAAGGACACUUCAAACAACCACAUAAUACAUUGACCCAACAAUUGAUCAACGAACCAAGUUACCCCAGGGAUAACAGCGCAAUCUACUCAAAGAGUCCAUAUCGACGAGCAGGUUUACGACCUCGAUGUUGGAUCAGGACCCCCAAAUAGCGCAACAGUUAUUAAAGGUUCGUUUGUUCAACGAUUAAAGUCCU
rnacentral:rRNA from 1 species